UUAGGAAUAUUCGUCAAUGGGGGAAACCCUGAACGAGCAAUGCCGCGUGAAGGAUGACGGUCCUAUGGAUUGUAAACUUCUGUUGUUAGGGAAGAACGACCUGUAUAGGAAAUGAUACAGGAGUGACGGUACCUUUCAAGAAAGCUCCGGCUAACUACGUGCCAGCAGCCGCGGUAAUACGUAGGGAGCGAGCGUUAUCCGGAUUUAUUGGGUGUAAAGGGUGCGUAGGCGGCUUUACAGGUCUGUGGUUUAAUCCCGAAGCUUAACUUCGGUUCGCCAUAGAAACCGUAUCGCUUGAGCAUGGUAGAGGCAAGUGGAAUUUCUAGUGUAGCGGUUAAAUGCGUAGAUAUUAGAAGGAACACCAGUGGCGAAGGCGACUUGCUGGGCCAUUGCUGACGCUGAGGCACGAAAGCGUGGGGAGCAAAUAGGAUUAGAUACC
rnacentral:rRNA from 1 species